AAUAGAUAACCAGGUAGUCCAUGCCGUAAACGUUGGGCGCUAGAUGUGGGGACCAUUCCACGGUUUCCGUGUCGCAGCUAACGCAUUAAGCGCCCCGCCUGGGGAGUACGGCCGCAAGGCUAAAACUCAAAGGAAUUGACGGGGGCCCGCACAAGCGGCGGAGCAUGCGGAUUAAUUCGAUGCAACGCGAAGAACCUUACCAAGGCUUGACAUAUACGAGAACGCUCUAGAAAUAGAGAACUCUUUGGACACUCGUAUACAGGUGGUGCAUGGUUGUCGUCAGCUCGUGUCGUGAGAUGUUGGGUUAAGUCCCGCAACGAGCGCAACCCUCGUUCUAUGUUGCCAGCGGUUCGGCCGGGAACUCAUAGGAGACUGCCGGGGUCAACUCGGAGGAAGGUGGGGAUGACGUCAAAUCAUCAUGCCCCUUAUGUCUUGGGCUUCACGCAUGCUACAAUGGCCGGUACAAAGGGCUGCAAUCCGUAAGGUGGAGCGAAUCCCAAAAAGCCGGUCUCAGUUCGGAUUGAGGUCUGC
rnacentral:rRNA from 1 species